GGGGAUGUAGCUGGGUGGUAAAUUGCUUACCUAGCAUGCAUGAAGCCCUGGGUUCAGUCCCCAGCACUACA
rnacentral:tRNA from 1 species